rnacentral:rRNA from 1 species
UACGGGGGGAGCAAGCGUUGUUCGGAUUUACUGGGCGUAAAGGGCGCGUAGGCGGCCACCGCAAGUCGACUGUGAAAUCUCCGGGCUUAACUCGGAAAGGUCAGCCGAUACUGCGGGGCUAGAGUGCAGAAGGGGCAACUGGAAUCCUCGGUGUAGCGGUGAAAUGCGUAGAUAUCGAGAGGAACACCUGAGGCGAAGGCGCCUUCCUGGACAGGUAUUGACGCUGAGGCGCGAAAGCGUGGGGAGCAAACAGG